rnacentral:rRNA from 1 species
UGUAACCUCUUUUGGCAGGGAAGAAGCGAAAGUGACGGUACCUGCAGAAAAAGCACCGGCUAACUACGUGCCAGCAGCCGCGGUAAUACGUAGGGUGCAAGCGUUGUCCGGAAUUAUUGGGCGUAAAGAGCUCGUAGGCGGUGUGUCACGUCUGCUGUGAAAAUCCAAGGCUCAACCUUGGACUUGCAGUGGGUACGGGCACACUCGAGUGCGGUAGGGGAGAUUGGAAUUCCUGGUGUAGCGGUGGAAUGCGCAGAUAUCAGGAGGAACACCGAUGGCGAAGGCAGAUCUCUGGGCCGUAACUGACGCUGAGGAGCGAAAGCGUGGGGAGCGAACAGGAUUAGAUACCCUGGUAGUCCACGCCGUAAACGGUGGGAACUAGAUGUGGGGUCCGUUCCACGGAUUCCGUGUCGCAGCUAACGCAUUAAGUUCCCCGCCUGGGGAGUACGGCCGCAAGGCUAAAACUCAAAGGAAUUGACGGGGGCCCGCACAAGCGGCGGAGCAUGCGGAUUAAUUCGAUGCAACGCGAAGAACCUUACCAAGGCUUGACAUAUAGAGGAAAAGUGCAGAGAUGCACUCCCCGCAAGGUCUCUAUACAGGUGGUGCAUGGUUGUCGUCAGCUCGUGUCGUGAGAUGUUGGGUUAAGUCCCGCAACGAGCGCAACCCUCGUCCUAUGUUGCCAGCACGUAAUGGUGGGAACUCAUGGGAUACUGCCGGGGUCAACUCGGAGGAAGGUGGGGAUGACGUCAAAUCAUCAUGCCCCUUAUGUCUUGGGCUUCACGCAUGCUACAAUGGCCGGUACAGAGGGCAGCAA